rnacentral:rRNA from 1 species
CUACGGGUGGCUGCAGUGGGGAAUUUUGGACAAUGGGGGCAACCCUGAUCCAGCCAUUCCGCGUGAGUGAAGAAGGCCUUCGGGUUGUAAAGCUCUUUCGCAAGGGAAGAAAACUUACUCAAUAACACUGGGUGAGGCUGACGGUACCUUGAUAAGAAGCACCGGCUAACUACGUGCCAGCAGCCGCGGUAAUACGUAGGGUGCGAGCGUUAAUCGGAAUUACUGGGCGUGAAGCGUGGUAAGGCGGUUUGGAAAUCCCCGGGCUCAACCUGGGAACGGCGUUUGAAACUACAAGGCUAGAGUAUGGCAGAGGGGGGUAGAAUUCCACGUGUAGCAGUGAAAUGCGUAGAGAUGUGGAGGAAUACCAAUGGCGAAGGCAGCCCCCUGGGUCAAUACUGACGCUCAUGCACGAAAGCGUGGGGAGCAAACAGGAUUAGAUACCCCUGUAUC